rnacentral:lncRNA from 1 species
AAUCGAAAGCGGAAGUGAUGCGAACCUACUUGGAAGUGAUAACUAAGUGAAAGAAGAGCCAAUGGGCAAAUUUUAUGGAAGAAUGACCUAAAACUUCAGAAGUUUGCGAGAUGAUACUCGUUAAAGCUCCAAUGGGCAUCCACCCAGUUCAAGCAGCAUGAGGCAUUUGAGAGACUGGCGCAGUAAGGAUGGUCUUUUCCUUCAUCUGGAGGAUCCGCAGGAACCAACAGGGAUCAACACAACUCAGCCAACCCCACACUAGAGUCAAAGUCAUUAGCGAGUUGAAGCAGCAUGGCAGAUCAAAGGUUCGACUACUCAAAAAUAGCAGCGGAGAGCAGCUGGGAGCCAAGAGGUACAUUGCAGUUGGAGUAGAAGACUGAAGACUCAACAAAGGCAAGGAGUUGCAGUGUUCACAAAGGCUUCGACGAGGACGUCGAAGGAAUAAGUGGGGGAGAAUAUCACGGACAAACUUCGAAACAGGAUGUUUGAUAUAAUACUUAUGUAUGUCCGUGUCUUUUGGUAUGUUCAUGCUUUGCACGGCAUGUAGAGGGACAACCGAAGGCUUAAUAGUCCCAUUUUAGUUGGGUAUGGUGGCCACUUUAGGCUUGUAAAUAAAAGUUGUGUCAUGUGAAUACUUGUGAGAGAUUUUCGGUCUGUAAUGGACCAUUUUGACCCUUUGUUGUGCAACUGUUCGGAGCUUGUAAAGUCUAUUUGUAAUUUGCAUUGUCUAUGAAGUGUUUCCUGGAAUGUUUGCUUGCGUAUCCCGAGUGAGGCAUUCUCUCUAACCCGUUUUCUCUUUCGUAGGUCUUAAGGGACCAUGGGAGGCUUCGGGGAGGCUGACCUUUGUGGACGGACAUGCAAGGGUACCGCACGACUUAGGCAAAACCAGCUAAGUCCGUGACAUCAUGGUGACAAUACCAUCUGGCACAGAAUUACUGAGGGAAACCACCAGUGUCUCCCAACUUUCUGGUAAUGAACUCAGAAGUAACAAUGCCUGCAACUCAUCAUCAAGAGAUAUUUUCAUAGAGGAUAACUGGUUAGUAAUACUUUGCAUUUCAUUCAAAUGCUCAACAAUAGAAGCACCCUCUCUAUAUUUUAGGUUCACAAGUUUUUUGAUCAAAAAAGCUUUGUUACCAAUUGUUUUUCUUUCAUAGAGACUUUCCAACUUUUUCCAAAGGGAAUAUGCAAAAAUUUCAGUAGAAAUAUGGUGAAAGACACUAUCAUCAAGCCAUUGUUGAAUAAACCCAACUGUUUUUCGAUCUAACAUCUUCUACUCAUCAUCUGUCAUAGUUAUGAGUUUUGCACUAUCCCCCUACAAAGGUCCAUAUAAAUCUUUGCGAUACAAGAGAUCUUUCAUUCUUGGUUUUCAUAUCAUCUAAUUGUUUCCAUUCAAACUAAUCAUACGAGAAAUACUAUUGGCCUCCAUGUUCUAAUACAAAAUUAAAUCACUAUAACCCUGCUCUGAUACCCGUUGAUGGGAUAUAAAGAGAAAUAUCUUUUGUAUAUGAACAAAUACUAGCAGGCCAUAACACACAACAGAAUUAAAUGGAACCAUAAUCAAAUAGAACACCAAGAUAUACAUGGAAAACCCCUUCAAUGUGAAGGGUAAAAACCACGGGGCAAACUAGAGAUAAUCCACUAUAAGAAUAAUGAAUAUACAAAUCUCAAUCUCUUGCCCAAAACCCUAGCAACAAUCACAAGAGAAUAACUAGGAUACAAGGAUCACGUCACUGUGCUCAAAAUUCUAAAUCCUCCCUAAUUCUCCCCAAGUAAUUAUAGUAAGAAUCUAUUAUAGAUUUGAUCUAACCUGAGAUAAGAACACUGUUGGAUGAUUGAGAAUAGUCUCUCUGCAUUGUCCUUGUUUUCUUCCCUUUCUUUCUCCUUGGAUUUUUAUCUUUUUCUCCUCCUUUCUACUACUGCAAGGAUCACCCCUGCUGCCCUAUUUAUGCCUCUUUUCGUAGCCAUCAUACACCCCCCCUAAUAAGAAUUAGGGUUAGGUUAAGAGAGGAGGUGGGUUGUGGGCUGUUCAAGCCCACUAUGGGCUGAAUCAUGGGUUGUCAGCCCAACACAAACCUAAGCCCGAAAUUAGUCACUCGACCCACAGGUCCAAUCCUUGCCCAAGUCGCUCCAGGUCAAUUCCCGACUUGCUACUCGCCGGCACCAAACUUGAGCUCGAGAUCAGUCACUCGGCCCAUAUGUCCAAUCCUUGCCCGAGUUGCUCCAGAUCGGUUCUCGACUUGUGACUCACCGACACCAAACCUGAGCCAGAGACAGUAACUUGGCCCACAGGUCCAAUCCUUGCCCGAGUCGCUCCAGGUCGGUUCCUGACUUCCGACUCACCGGCACCAAACCUGAGCCCGAGAUCAGUCACUCGGCCCAUAUGUCAUGGACAAACUUCUAAACAGGAUGUUUGAUAUAAUGCUUAUGUAUGUCCGUGUCUUUUGGUAUGUUCAUGCUUUGUACAACAUAUAGAGGGACGGCCGAAGGCUUAAUAAUCCCAUUUUAGUUAGGUUGGUGGCUGCUUUAGGCUUGUAAAUAAAGGUUAUGUCAUGUGGACAUGUGCGAGAGAUUUUUGGUCUAUAAUGGACCAUUUUACCCUUUGUUGUGCAAUUGUUCAGAGCUUGUAAAGUCUAUUUGUAAUUUGCAUUGUCUAUGAAGUGUUUUCGGAGAUGUUUGCUUGUGGAUCCUGAAUGAGACGUUUUCUCUAACCCGUUCUCUCUUUUAUGGGUCCUAAGGGACAUGGGAGGCUUCGGGGAGGUUGACCUAUGCGGACGGACAUGCAAGGGUGCCGCACGACUUAGGCAAAACCAGCUAAGUCCAUGACAGAUGGUAUCAGAGCGGGAUAAGCACUCAUAGAAACACUUAGCAUGCAAAUGUGGGGGACCUAGCGGGGCUGCGUUGAGGGCAGUCGCACACGCGCGACCGUUUUGGGGGAAAGCAGGCAUGGAGAUGUAGGGAAAAGGAGUCGCUCGGAGGAGCGGGCAUUUGACAUUGGCAUUUAGAGGAAUGGCCAACCCUUCGCGUAAGAGGCACCACGAGAACAGGCAAACUUGAAAGAAUGCGGAGCGCACAAAGGUUGGGACGGCUGAGUUUGAGCUAUGGCUCGACGUUGACAACUAUACUUGAUGGUGCUCAAGGCAAGCGAGGCGCUUGGUAAAAGAUGAGACCAUGCAAGGUGGAAUGAGUUGCUCAACGACCAAAAGAGUUAUGUAAAUCUCACAGAGGUGAGGGGAAUUGCUAGCUUGAAGAAUUUGGUACUCAUGCAUGAGCUUGUAUGCAGACGAUGGAAUGUUCGUGGCCAUCCCAAGGUGACCGAAACUCAGCGCCAUGGAGCAUUGAAACUUUCUCUUCGGCAUAUGAAAGAUACGUCCGUAGGAGGCUGAAGUGUGCAAUGAGUUCAGCAUGUUACUAGGCCUUGAGUGGUGCAGCGGGGGCUGUAUUGACGUGGAGUCGCAAUCUAGCAAGUGCGUUUGCAGGAGGUAGAACAAUACACAGUUUCUUCAGCAGAUCGGAGUAGUCCAAGGGGAUGGUGGUCUUCGAAACGAAGAGAGAUAUUGCUCCAACGGGACAGUUAUCCAGGAGGGAUAAGUCCUGGCUCUCUAGAGGAAGAAUCAUGUGGGACGGACCUCACAAGUUGAGGAGGAGUACCUCAUCAAACAACAACUCCACGAAGCUCAAUGGACUGACCAAGUAGCGAGGAGUCAUCGCAUGAUCUCGCUCGAGAGAAUGCAUUGGUGGAUGCAUUAUGAGAUCAAGUGGGGGAGUGACCCAAAGCAACACAAAUGAAGGCACACUUGGAGUCGAUAUGGAGAUCGGAAUCAAGGGAGGGUUGACCCGUAGAAUGGUAGGCACGAGGGCCACCAUCGACUCAAUUUAAAAAUGAGGAGCGGAGCAACUUGGGUAUAACUUGGCGAAGUACUCAAGCCGUAUGAAGGGAGCCAGCAUAGAAGUUGGAACAUGGAGCAGAGGCACAGUGCUUUCCUUAGACAGAGGUCAAGGACAUGAACUCUUGCAGAGGCAAGAGUAUGAUCUUGUUGUUCCAUGGGUCCUUCAUUCUAACGGAGUGGACUCAUCUUGCAUAGUGCCAAAGACGAAGGGAGCUUCUGGGCACAUGCACCUUAUCUCGGAAAAGCAUUUGAUGGAGGAACUAAGGCGACUCAAUUUGCGGAGGCGAAGUUGGGUUCAGAAGGCCUUAGCAUGGGGCAAGAGGACGCAGAGGCGGGUACUCUUGAAGAAUAUGCCACAAUGUUGCAAAUCAAGUUGCUGGGCAGGAAGCGGUGCGCAGCGGAGAUUGUGCUGGUAGGGGCAGAGGCCCAGGAUCCAGACAAUGGGGCACUAAUUGCAGCGAAGUCGGGGGACUUCGGGAGCUACUAGGCAACGGAUUGUCCUAGAGCGAUGCUUCAUCUAGGUGUGACCCAAGAGUGGGUGGAUGAAGGUCGAUUGCCAAAGAAGCGAACAAAAUCGAAGGUGGAAGAGACCUUGCGAUGUAUUGGCAGAGGCCACACAUGAAGGGUUCACAAUUCAAGUUCAUCCCACAAGGAUCAGAAUGCAAUAGAGAUGUCACCAAGAGGCGACAUGGUGCAGCGGAUCGUGGUGGAAUAGUUCGUGGCAAUGCGAUACACACGACAAAGUCCCGUGAGGGACUAGAUCAUACGGAGGUAUGAUCGGGAGCUACUGGAAGCUCCACUUUGGGGAACAACACGACUACAAGAAGGGCUAUGGAUUCAAGAAGUGAAGGCCAUGGUACCGCAGACGCGGGUCUUCCGUGCGUGCAUCGAAUUUUUCAUCGGAUGAAAACCUUGGUCAUCAGCAUAUGGGGGCUAGGUUCCACCAAAGGAAAAUGUUUGAAUGCAAGUACCAGUGAGUCCCAUGGGAGGGACGUGAUCAUACAGAGGUAUAAUCGAAGCAACUAAAGAGUUUGACUGCUCCAGAGCUUAUUUUCGCUUAAAGGAGCCCGAUAAGUCAGAGGACAAGGUCGAGUAAGCGAACGUUGCUACCAAGGAAGCUAAGGAGAACAGAAUCGAUGCAAACCCUAUAAUGCGAUGGUAGAGGCCAUGCAUGAGAGUUGUAGUUUGUCUUUCCAUCGACUAGAGGGAGCUGCUUGGAGAACACAGAGGUGUUGAAGCAGGGGGUCGAAAGGGGCGAGGAAGCGACGACGAGUCCAAAGGGACUUAGUUACCCAAAAUCAAACAUCAGUUAGAAUGGAGGUGGAUUCAGAGGAGUGCCACGGAGAUAUAUCUACUAAUCGUGAAGAAAAGGGAUGCAGAUACGAGGCGACUGAUAGUAAGGCCAUGGGCAUGGCAGCGCCAUGGUACCGCAGAGGCGGGACUUCUGUGAAAGUCAUUGAUCCCUUGCUCUCAUGGAGGGAGAGCGCUUAGUCGUGAAAGGGGCCGAGGAGGUGGAGCACGCAGAGGCAAACUCCAAGUACUGAGACAAGGCUGAAGGGUAGAGGCCAAGGAACUUCGUAAGACCGGUGUCAACGAGCUUCUCAUCAUGAUAGCCGAAAGUAAAGGACUUGGGUCAGGUAAGAGUGCAUGACCAAGGAACGAAGCAGGCAAUACACGGUGCUGUACCUUUGCUACUCAGUGGAGUAGGCGACAGGGUUGAUGGAGAAGAUGGUAUAAUCCCAGAGGCGACCAAACCUAUGAGAGAAUUACUCAAAGUUAGGGUGAAAACUUCUUGCAUUCCAAAAGUUUGAUGGCAUUGAGAAGGUGAAUCACAGUAACUUACUCAACGCAAGGAGUGCAAACACUUCAAGUGCUUCAGAAGUGUGAGCAAAGAGCAGGCGAAGGCUAGUAACCAGCUCGAUGCAUGGAGUACAACCUCGAGGAGCAAAGGAGCUCUGCAUAAGUUCAAAGACCCUUCGAAGAUAAUGGAAAUCAAUAGUUGUCAAAUCCUCACCAACGGUGAUCAGUACUUCUGAGAGUAGAUUGUCCGCUUCAUUUCCCAACGAAAUGCUAAUCGAAAGCGAAAGUGAUGCGAACCUACUUGGAUGUGACAACUAAGUGAAAGAAGAGUCAAUGAGCAAAUUUUGUGGAGGAAUGACCCAAAACUUCAGAAGUUUGCGAGACGAUGCUCGUUAAAGCUCCAACAAGCAUCCACCUAGUUCAAGCAACAUGAGGCAUUUGAGAGACUGGCGCAGUAAGGAUGGUCUUUUCCUUCAUUUGGAGGAUCCGCAGG